rnacentral:rRNA from 1 species
CAGCCGCCGCGAUAAUACGGAGGGUGCAAGCGUUAAUCGGAAUUACUGGGCGUAAAGCGCACGCAGGCGGUCUGACAAGUCAGAUGUGAAAUCCCCGGGCUUAACCUGGGAACUGCAUUUGAAACUGUCAGGCUGGAGUCUUGUAGAGGGGGGUAGAAUUCCAGGUGUAGCGGUGAAAUGCGUAGAGAUCUGGAGGAAUACCGGUGGCGAAGGCGGCCCCCUGGACAAAGACUGACGCUCAGGUGCGAAAGCGUGGGGAGCAAACAGGAUUAGAUACCCCAGUAGUCCCUGUCUCUUAUAC